AAUAAGUGCAGUUUUACCUUGGUCAUGUCCAAUAUUUGACCGUUCAUCUUAUUUGAAAUUAUUUUAUGAUCAGUAUUUUCAUUGUUAUUAGCUGAUAAAACAUGAAUAAUACCUUAUGUGUGACUAAUUUUUUUAAAAAAAUAUUAUAAAAUUUUUAAAUAAGAUGGACGGUCAAACGUUGGACACGGAUAUCCACGACUGCACUUAUU
rfam:Oryza sativa (indica cultivar-group) chromosome 9, whole genome shotgun sequence.